UACGUAGGGGGCAAGCGUUGUCCGGAAUCAUUGGGCGUAAAGAGCGCGUAGGCGGCUCGGUAAGCCGGAUGUGAAACCUCCAAGCUCAACUUGGAGCGGCCAUUCGGAACUGCUGUGGCUAGAGUCUGGUAGGGGAACACGGAAUUCCUGGUGUAGCGGUGAAAUGCUUAGAUAUCAGGAGGAACACCAGUGGCGAAGGCGGUGUUCUGGGCCAGUACUGACGCUGAGGCGCGAAAGCGUGGGGAGCGAACAGG
rnacentral:rRNA from 1 species